rnacentral:misc_RNA from 1 species
AAGUCGUAACAAGGUCUCCGUAGGUGAACCUGCGGAGGGAUCAUUACCGAGUGAGGGUGCUCCGGCGCCCGAUCUUCCAACCCUUUGAUUGACCGACUGAUGUUGCCUCGGGGGCGACCCGGCCUCGCGGCCGAGGGCCCCCGCCGGACACAAUCAAAACACUGCAUCUCUGCGUCAGAGUAAAAGCAAAUGAAACAAAA